AAACACCGAUGCUUCCCGUCGUGCAGAGUUGAAGUACAAAGAAUAUUUUACAUUUUCUCUUAUUACUGCUGAAAGGACACAGUCGAAUAUAUUUUAGUGUAAAUAUGAUGCCUUAGAUGGAGAGGCUUCUCAUCCCUUCCCUUGUUUUACAUUCUUGAGUUUGUAGAGGCAGAAGAGCGAGUGAGAGAAAAAUGGUGAGGAAAGAAAAGUUGUUUAUUGCUUUGACAUGGUUCCUAGUAGUGAUGUCCGUUGCCAUAUGUGCUAAUGCAACAGCAGGCCCUCGUCUGCAGGCAUCCGAUGAGCACAUGGAACUGCCAGCAGGUUGCCGCUGCUGCUAUUUCAUCGGACAGAUUCCAUACAUGCGUUGUGGGAUGAUAUGCUGUCAGGAUGGCUGUUGCGGCUAAUCAAUGGAGUUUUUGUCAUGCUACUAGGCAGAAUAAAGUUCGGGUUGCUGAUGAAAUAAUAUGAGAAAUAUUUGAAUUGUCAGGAGCUCGUUUUUAUGAUUCUUUAGCUUUUUCCUUAGAUAAGAAGGUUUCUUUAUCAGUUGUACUUUAGUAUUGUAAUCAAUAAUAUUGCAAUUACCUUAAUGGAUA